AGUGAACGCUGGCGGUAGGCCUAACACAUGCAAGUCGAACGGCAGCACAGUAAGAGCUUGCUCUUACGGGUGGCGAGUGGCGGACGGGUGAGGUAUACAUCGGAAUCUACUUUUUCGUGGGGGAUAACGUAGGGAAACUUACGCUAAUACCGCAUACGACCUACGGGUGAAAGCAGGGGAUCUUCGGACCUUGCGCGAUUGUAUGAGCCGAUGUCGGAUUAGCUAGUUGGCGGGGUAAAGGCCCACCAAGGCGACGAUCCGUAGCUGGUCUGAGUGGAUGAUCGCCCACACUGGAACGGGGACACGGUCCAGACUCCUACGGGAGGAAGCAGUGGGGAAUAUUGGACAAUGGGCGAAAGCCUGAUCCAGCCAUACCGCGUGGGUGAAGAAGGCCUUCGGGUUGUAAAGCCCUUUUGUUGGGAAAGAAAAGCAGCAGGUUAAUACCCCGCUGUUCUGACGGUACCCAAAGAAUAAGCACCGGCUAACUUCGUG
rnacentral:rRNA from 1 species